rnacentral:rRNA from 1 species
UACGUAGGAUGCAAGCGUUUGUCCGGAAUUAUUGGGCGUAAAGCGCACGUAGGCGGAUUUGUUAAGUCGGGAUGUGAAACUCCCUCGGCUCAACUGAGGAAGUGCAUCCGAAACUGGCAGGCUUGAGUAUAAAGAAGGGUCGCGGAAUUCCCGGUGUAGAGGUGAAAUUCGUAGAUAUUGGGAAGAACACCGGUGGCGAAGGCGGCGUC